GGUGGGCCCAUAACCCACAGGUC
rnacentral:siRNA from 1 species